rnacentral:lncRNA from 9 species
GCUGAUGUGGCCCCAGAUCCGCACUCUGUGAUACCCUUUGCAGCCCCCAGGUCACUGAUGACUGAUCACAUUUGUCUGCAAGGUCCCUUUAUCCUGUUACGGAAACUACCGCAUCUGAAAGACUCUAGAACGGGAUCGAAUGACCAACACUCCACCCCUGAAAGGCACAGUGAAGAUUUUGGGGUCACAGGCACGUAACACGAGAAUCAUGUAGAACCCAGGAGUGAUCGGUUCAGCCUUCCGCAUGUCUGAUGAUGGCUCCUCUAAGUUGUGGUGUUAACACUGAGCAGAUCUGCUCAUGGAACGCCAAUCAUGCCUGAGUCCUCAACAGCAGACGAUGCCAUUUAGUUCCCUUGACACGAAGAAUCACUCAGAUCUUCAUUCCGGAGGCAAAGAAGAAGGGGCUGUCGUUGUAAAAAUGUGUACUCAGGAUGAAGAACGAAAAAGUUUCAAAAUCCGCAUGUAUCCAUAAUGAGAAGCACUGCUGCCUCACUGGUAGUUCUACUGAAUCUCUAAGACAAAAAUUCAGGUUUAAAUUUGGUUCCGCAUAUAGCAUAAUCAGUACGUGGAAAUGUAACUUCAGUGAUUUCCUAGUGCUAAGCCUUGUUUUGGAUUAUAACAUCAUUUGCAUCAAGAUAUUAACUGAUCUUCGAGUGAAAAAUAAAAACGGGAAAAUGCCUUUGAGCAUAUUGUUGUCAUGUACUUCUGCCUUGGCCAGAUGUGGUAAACAUUCAGUUUCUGAAAAAAGAGCCUGAUUUGGCAUCUGCAUCCGUCAGGUCAUCCUAAAUUCACGUGUUGUCUACAUUGCGACAUAAUAAUAUAUAAUUUACCAUUGUUAGUGAGAAACAAAGGAAGCCCGAAAUGUUACUGUGCAUCACAGAACUGCAGUCAUUUAUUUUCUGAGUUCAAAGGUAGGUGCAACUUACCUAACUCACGUCUUCAAUUCCUAUAGAUUUUAUUUUUCAGAAAGAGGAAAAAAAAAAAAAAAAGC